CACGUAGGGGGCGAGCGUUGUCCGGAUUUAUUGGGCGUAAAGAGCUCGUAGGCGGCUCAGUAAGUCGGGUGUGAAACCCCCGGGCUCAACCCGGGGACGCCACCCGAUACUGCUGUGGCUAGAGUCCGGUAGGGGAGCGUGGAAUUCCUGGUGUAGCGGUGAAAUGCGCAGAUAUCGGGAGGAACACCGGUGGCGAAGGCGGUUCUCUGGGCCUUACCUGACGCUGAGGAGCGAAAGCGUGGGGAGCGAACAGG
rnacentral:rRNA from 1 species